GGCCGGUUGGCCCAAUGGCAAGGCGUCUGACUACGAUUGAUACGUUAUCAGGAGAUUCUGGGUUCGACCCCCAGGCUGGUCA
rnacentral:tRNA from 1 species